CCCAUAGGGAAUAACCAAGUUGUCUUAACCAAUUUAAACACAUUUCCUAUGCAACAUCACUCUCAUUCACGCUCUCAAGGAUGUCUCAACUGAUGAAGUCGUUUCCCCCAUGUACUUGAAAGCCAAUGAUCAGUUGGUUCAUCCGAGAAGUGUCCUUCCUUAGUUAAGGCUGUCAGUGAGGUCAUUUGGUACCACAACUGAAACAGUACAGUAAUUAUGAAGUCCCAGCCUCCAAAGCAUAGAGGCAUCAUGUCCUAUUGGAGAGAGAGCAGGACUUGGAGUUAGGGAGACCUAAUUUCAAGUCAUGCUUCUGACAUCUGCAGGCUGUGUGACUUUGGGCAAGCUUCCUAACCUCUCAGUGUUCUAGGC
rnacentral:lncRNA from 1 species